rnacentral:rRNA from 1 species
GAUGAACGCUGGCGGCGUGCCUAAUACAUGCAAGUCGAGCGAACAGACGAGGAGCUUGCUCCUCUGACGUUAGCGGCGGACGGGUGAGUAACACGUGGAUAACCUACCUAUAAGACUGGGAUAACUUCGGGAAACCGGAGCUAAUACCGGAUAAUAUAUUGAACCGCAUGGUUCAAUAGUGAAAGACGGUUUUGCUGUCACUUAUCGAUGGAUCCGCGCCGCAUUAGCUAGUUGGUAGGGUAACGGCUUACCAAGGCGACGAUGCGUAGCCGACCUGAGAGGGUGAUCGGCCACACUGGAACUGAGACACGGUCCAGACUCCUACGGGAGGCAGCAGUAGGGAAUCUUCCGCAAUGGGCGAAAGCCUGACGGAGCAACGCCGCGUGAGUGGUGAAGGUCUUCGGAUCGUAAAACUCUGUUAUUAGGGAAGAACAAAUGUGUAAGUAACUAUGCACGUCUUGACGGUACCUAAUCAGAAAGCCACGGCUAACUACGUG